CUUCAUCAUGAAACCCUUCCUUCUUAACAGAGAAACCCAAGUCUGGAUCGUGAAAUAAACAAGGAAAACCAUCUAGCAUCCAGUCGUCGCCACCAGAUAUAUCCGUUCUUCACAAAUCGUUUUUUACAUCCACCAAGAAGAAACAAUGUUCCGUUCAAAGCUUUCGAAGCCAGAUCCAUGAUCCGUGAGACAUCUUAAACCAUCCUGCAUGAUAUCCUAAGACUUCUUACCAUACUAAGAAUUGAAAUGCAGUAUUGUUGGCAUGGUUGUCAUAGGGCGGGGGGGUCUUACUAUCUCAUUGGUCGUGCUUUGGGCCUUGAAGUUGGAGUCAACAUAGGACUAUGUUUUUUUUCUAGGGAAUGCUGUUGCUGGAUCUAUCUGCUUUCAUCUUCAAUCAGACGCUUCCAUCUUUAAUCGGAUGAUUUCUUCUUCGAUCGAAAGUUUCUUUCAUCUUCGAACAGGAAGAUGAAGACAAUGGAACCGGCGAUGAGGACGUUAUCACUUCUGUUGGGACAUCAAACGUGUGGACUGCAUUUAGAGAUAGUUUAGCUCAAGAUAUGUUUCAAUCUUGGAGUGUUACCAAUUGAAUUUAU